rnacentral:sRNA from 1 species
GCCAGGCAUGGUGGUGCAUGCCUGUAAUCCUAACAGCUCAGGAGGCUGAGGUAGGAGGAUUGCAGGUUCAAAGCCAGUUUCAGUAACUUAGUGAAGUUGUUAGCAACCUACUGAGACUGUGUCUCAA